AUUGAACGCUGGCGGCAGGCCUAACACAUGCAAGUCGAGCGGAGCGGCGGACGGGUGAGUAAUGCCUAGGAAUCUGCCUGGUAGUGGGGGAUAACGUCCGGAAACGGGCGCUAAUACCGCAUACCUUCAGCUGUGCCUAGAGGGGAUUAGCUUGUUGGUGGGGUAACGGCUCACCAAGGCUACGAUCCCUAGCUGGACUGAGAGGAUGACCAGCCACACUGGGACGGAAACACGGACCAGACUCCUACGGGAGGCAGCAGUGGGGAAUAUUGCACAAUGGGCGCAAGCCUGAUGCAGCCAUGCCGCGUGUAUGAAGAAGGCCUUCGGGUUGUAAAGUACUUUCAGCGGGGAGGCGUUACCCGCAGAAGAAGCACCGGCUAACUCCGUGCCAGCAGCCGCGGUAAUUC
rnacentral:rRNA from 1 species